GAUGAACGCUGGCGGCGUGCUUAACACAUGCAAGUCGAACGAAGCACUUAUCUUUGAUUCUUCGGAUGAAGAGGUUUGUGACUGAGUGGCGGACGGGUGAGUAACGCGUGGGUAACCUGCCUCAUACAGGGGGAUAACAGUUAGAAAUGACUGCUAAUACCGCAUAAGACCACGGAGCCGCAUGGCUCAGUGGGAAAAACUCCGGUGGUAUGAGAUGGACCCGCGUCUGAUUAGGUAGUUGGUGGGGUAACGGCCUACCAAGCCAACGAUCAGUAGCCGACCGGGUAGGGUGACCGGCCACAUUGGGACUGAGACACGGCCCAAACUCCGACGGGAGGCAGCAGUGGAGAAUAUUGCACGAGGGGGGAAACCCUGAUGCAGCGACGCCGCGUGAGCGAAGAAGUAUUUCGGUAUGUAAAGCUCUAUCAGCAGGGAAGAAAAUGACGGUACCUGACUAAGAAGCACCGGCUAAAUACGUG
rnacentral:rRNA from 1 species